CUUUUCUUGUUUAUUUUUGAAGUAUAACCUGCCCACUGAUAAAUUAUUUAAUGGCCGCAGUAUUUUGACUGUGCAAAGGUAGCAUAAUCAUUAGUCUUUUUAUUGGAGGCUGGAAUGAAAGGUUGGACGAGAUAAUUUCUGUCUUAAUUAUAUUUAAGUUUGAAUUUAAUUAUUUUGUUAAAAGGCUUAAAUUUUUUUAUGGGACGAGAAGACCCUAUAGAAUUUUAUAUUAUAAUAUUUAUUGUUUGUAAAUAUAUUAUUUAGAUAUAUAAUAUUUUAUUGGGGUGAUAAUUAGAAAAGAAAAACUCUAAUUUUUAUAAUAUUAUUUAUUUAUAUGUUUUUGAUCCAUUAUUAUUGAUUAUAAGAUAAAAUUACCUUAGGGAUAACAGCGUAAUUUUUUUUGAGAGUUCAUAUUGACAGAAAAGCUUGCGACCUCGAUGUUGGAUUAGGAUAAAUAUUAGCUAUGGUGAAGGAGCUGUUUAAUAUAAGUCUGUUCGACUUUUAAAUUCCUACA
rnacentral:rRNA from 1 species